rnacentral:tRNA from 1 species
GCGGGUAUAGUAUAGUGGUAGUACGGGACCCUUCCAAGGUCUAAGCAGGGGUUCGAAUCCCCUUACCCGCUCCC